GUCAACUACCCCGGCCUGAAGGCCGGAGCUUGUAAAAGGCUCCAUGGUUGACCAGGGAAAUGUUCAAAGUUUAAUGGCAAAUACAAAAAAGGAGAACAUUAAAAGUUGCAUAGAGAGCUAAAGACCAACGGCGGGAUGCUUCCUCAGUCCCGCCCUCUUGA
rnacentral:sRNA from 25 species